UACGGAGGGUGCAAGCGUUGUCCGGAUUUAUUGGGUUUAAAGGGUGCGUAGGCGGCUAAUUAAGUCAGCGGUGAAAUUCCACAGCUCAACUGUGUGAACUGCCAUUGAUACUGGUUGGCUUGAGUACAGAUGAGGUAGGCGGAAUUGACAGUGUAGCGGUGAAAUGCUUAGAUAUGUUAUAGAACACCGAUUGCGAAGGCAGCUCACUAAGCCAAUUAUUGACGCUGAGGCACGAAAGCGUGGGUAGCGAACAGG
rnacentral:rRNA from 1 species